GGCAUAGGGUUGGAGGUAUCCAGACCCGCCUCGCUGAGGCGCGUAAUCUGUGCCGUUGCUGUGUUGCCCCCUGGAGUGUUAAGAAUGGUGUUUGCAUCUUUGAACCAGUGUCUAAUCAAACCCACACAUUAUGAUUGUCUUCCCAGGACUGCGGGAACAACAGUAGUGACAUAAAGAAUAGCACAGGGAAGAUAAGCCACAUAUACUGGACAUUGCUGCCUCCUUUACCAGCCUUUUUGUGCAUCCUCUCUUUCCUAAUCUCAUUGCUCAGGGGCUCAAGUCCUAGCAUUCUGAAGUCUAUGUUAUCAGUAUAUUAAAACUAUGCUUUCAAGAUAACUAGUGAUCUUAUUAGUCAAUGCCAGUUGUCUUGCUUAGUCCUAAAAGGAAUAUUUGAUAAUUUAUUAUUUUUUACAAUUUUAAAUGUUUAUUGAAAAGCAGCUAUACUUCCACUCCAUGGUAACACAUGAAAACAAAACACAUUGAUUACAAGAGUAUUAAAAUAUAAAAUAGUGAUAAUUUAUUUAAUAAAUAUUUAUUGAAUACCCAUGUUAGGUACUGUGGUAUAUCUUGAUUUGCUCAUGAAUUUAAAAAGACACAGUCUCUGCCCUUACGAAUUUUCUUGUUAGAUAGGAAAAAUUGACAUUGAUCAAUACAAAUUAUUGUAAAAUUACAGCAUAGUCAGUCAGUGCUAAGAAGGCAAAUUUUGAAUAAUGGAAGAACUUGGCAUAGUGUCACUGCACCAAGAACUGAAGGAUAAGUAGGUGAAAGGGUGUAAAAGGUAGAGGGGGGAAAAGCAUAUGUAGAGGUGUGUGAGGGUGAAAGCUUAGAAGUUUUAGGAUAUUGAAAGGGGAUAUUUAAAAAGAUAGGUAGAGGUGAGACUGAGAAGUACACAGGGACCAAAUCAUGCAGGUUAUGUAGGUCAAUGUGAGGGAUUUGGUCUUUACCGUAAAAGCUAAGGAAACAAGUAUUUUAAGCAAGAUUUAGGUGUGUAAUGUGACAUGUUCAGGUCUGCAUUUGAAAUUGUUGUAAUGAGAAUGGAUUUGAGAAGGUCAAGAUUGUAUGUAAAGUCCAAAUGGGAGAUAGUUGUAUAUUCCAGAUGGAAGAUGGUGGUAGCUUAGGCUAGGAUGGUAAUGGCCAGAGAUGUCAA